rnacentral:lncRNA from 1 species
CAGGGGUUUCCGCUUUUGCUUCUUCCUCAUUUUUCUCUUGCCCCUUGCCACGCAAGAAGUGCCUUUUGCCUCCCACCAUAAUUCUGAGGCCUCCCCAACCAUGUGGAACUCACAGAGGAAAGGCCAUGUGAAGCACAGCAAGAAGCCACCACUUACAAGCCAGGAAGAGUGGUCUCAUCAGAAAGCACCCAUGGCACCUUGAUCUUGGACCUCCAGCCACCAGAACUAUGGAGUCUCACUUUGUCACCAAGCUGGAGUGUGGUGGCAUGAUCUUGGCUCACUGCAACCUCCCAGGUUCAAGCUAUUCUCCUGCCUCAGCCUCCCGAGUAGCUGGGACUACAGGCGCACGCCACCACACCCAGCUAAUUUUUGUAUUUUUAGUAGAGACAGGGUUUCACCAUGUUCGCCAGGGUGGUCUCUAUUUCUUGACCUCGUGAUUUGCCCACCUUGGCCUUCCAAAGUGCUGGGAUUACAGGCAUGAGUCACUGUGCC